rnacentral:rRNA from 1 species
UACGUAGGGUGCGAGCGUUGUCCGGAAUUACUGGGCGUAAAGAGCUCGUAGGUGGUUUGUCGCGUUGUUCGUGAAAACUCACAGCUUAACUGUGGGCGUGCGGGCGAUACGGGCAGACUAGAGGUAUUCAGGGGAGAACGGAAUUCCUGGCGUAGCGGUGAAAUGCGCAGAUAUCAGGAGGAACACCGGUGGCGAAGGCGGCAUCCUGGACCGGCAUUGACGCUGAGUGAGCGAAAGCCAGGGGAGCAAACGGG